rnacentral:lncRNA from 1 species
CUAAUGGAACUUCAUAUUAGCAAUUUUUCGGACAGCACAGCUUCAGCGACUAGCGAUUUCAGAAAUUGUCACCUCAUUUACAGAGCACAGUCCAUCUUCAACGUCUAAUGCUAUAUCAGGAAAUUUAUCAGAUUUUCUUAAGAGGAAUGCAGGUUGGGAGUUUUAGCAGGGGGUACGUCUAGUGCUGAAGAGCUUGAUCUGUUGUGAUGUACAACAUAUUUGUUUUCAUUACAAAUCUAAUGGAACUUCAUCUUAGCAAUCAUUCAGACAGUACAGCUUCAGCGACAGGCAAUUUCAGUAAUUGUCACCUCAUUUAGAGAACACUGUCCAUCUUCUACGUCUAAUGCUAUAUCAGGAUUAUUGUCAGAUUUUCUAAAGAGGAAUGCAGGUUGUUCUGGAGAAGGAAUCUCUGUUUCGUUACUCAACAUAAAAACAACUGCCAACAUAGAUGGUCUGUCCGUGGCAUCUUCUUGCACGCACAGUAGACCAAUUUGUAUGCAUUUCAAGGCUUCACGCGGAUGAUACAACUCCUUCAGUGAUGGAUCAACUAUCUCCAAUGCUUUGUCUUCUCUCCAUAAUUCCCACACCUGUGUUGUUCAUAUAAAUCAUUAGCAUACAAGAAAUGAGAGCAGACAACAUCUAAAAUUGUGAACAUUGAAAUUCAACCAAGAGCACUAAAAACUCUCUUGUAACUCACAUAUCCAAUCAAGGUCAAGGGAGGAUUCCGUUGAUAAAAUCUGUUGUUCUUCUUGCCACUCACAAUCUCUAACAACAUGACCCCAAAACUGAAAACAUCUGAUUUUACAGAAAAGUUUCCAAACACAGCAUAUUCUGGUGACAUGUAGCCACUGCAUCAGAAAAACAAGAUUCUGAAGUUUUAGUAUUCCUGGUAAUCAAUGAUAGUACUUUGUCACUCGGUCUUUGUUUUAGGCAAAGGUACUUACUAUGUUCCCACAACUCUCCUUGUCCUAUCUUCAGUUUGGUUGCCUUCAAAUAUUUUUGCCAUUCCAAAAUCUGAUAUUUUUGGGUUCAUCUCUGCAUCCAAUAGAAUGUUGCUGCAUUUUAAAUCCCUGUGAAUGAUUCUCAACCUGGAGUCUUGGUGAAGAUAUAAAAUCCCACGAGCUAUUCCAACAAUAAUAUCAAAGCGUUUUCGCCAAUCCAAUAACAAUCUUCUUGUUUCAUCUGUUGAAACAAUUAUUUUUCAGACAACUAGUGUAAAUCAGGGCAAUAAAAACAUAAAGAGACUUACGGAAAAGAAUCGAGUCCAAGCUUUUGUUCGGCAAGUAUUCAUAGAUUAAGAUUUGUUCUCCAUCCUGAGUGCAAUAACCUAGAAGUUUCACCAGAUUCCUGUGUUGAAGCAUUGCAAUUACCAUAACUUCAUUUUUAAAUUCUUCUGUUCCUUGUCUUGAACUUCUAGAUAACCUUUUUAUUGCAACCUCCAGCCCAUUAGCUAGCAGACCCUAAAAUCAUGUUACAAGAUUAAGCCUCUGGACUAAUAUUAUGCAAAUUAGAGAGGCCAUUUAGUUUUUAGCUAAAUGCAAGAAACUCAACCUUAUAAACAGAGCCAAAACCACCUUGCCCGAGUUUGUUAGCUGGAGAGAAAUUGUUUGUGGCCGCCGUUGUGGUGCUGAGCUUGAAAUAUUUCAAUUCAGUAGAAGUGCUGUUUACCUGCAGUUCAGAACCUUUUUUGGCUCUCUUCUUGAACCACAAAUAAGCAAACAGGCUAAUGAGAAACCACAAUAAUGCAAUUGAUGGUGCUAAAAUGGCCUGCAUCGUUUUUUCACGAGAAUCAUUUGACUUCCUUUUAGUAUCAGCUGCAUGAGAAUGAAAAGAAAAAAGAUUAACUUAAUAGGAAAAACCACCCCAUUUUCCAAUGGAAAUAUGACAAUACAUAUGGCAAAGGGUAGCCCUUUUGGCACCUAAAACGUACCAAUAUCUAUGGUUUCUUUCCUGCAGGGAAGAGCUUAUUAACUACAGUCAAGAGCAGUGACAAGCAUAGGAAAACUCUUAUAAUUCAAUAUUUGUGAUGACAAUCCUAUGAAGUAGUUACUGAGCAGAAAAAGGGUACCUAAUUCAUAUGCAUCAACACGAACAUACAGAUCAUAACUGUUACUCCUAUCAUAUCUAAUGUCUACUAAUUCCUUGUACCAAUUCAAACAACCAUAAUUUUUUCCGGGAAUUCCAAUGAUUGCGUAUGCAGAUUAUGAACAAUUCCUCUUGCAUUCCACUUCACAGUCUGCACGACUCUUGCUCAUGUCUACCCAAGCUGAAUCUGAACUUUCCGGAAGAAUUACAUUUUCUACCUUCACAAACCCUUCUCCAUGCUGGCACAACGAAGACGUCUGUAGCCGCUUCCUGACACAACCAUCGGACCCAUCUCUCGUAGACCAUUCCAAUGGGUACUUGGGCUCGAACCCAGGUAAACAGGCACAUUCAAAUCUAUUAUGAUUGGCAAGUUCACACGUACUAUAAGCACCACACAGUCCAUAAUAGUCGCACUGAAACACUGGGGCCUUCCAGUAAUCCUUCCACUGACCAUCACUUUCUCGCCAUGUUAACACCUUUAGAAGUCCUGAAUGAUCUACUAUUAUUCUUAGCAGAUAAGAAUCAUCAGGAACUGUGUAGACCCAGUAUAUUUCAUCUGGAUGAUUGACAAAAGUGCUUUCGUAUAAGCCCAUUUGACUUCUCCAUGGCCAAGGAGGAGAUCUACUAAUUGGCUCUGUACCAUUAUAGACAAAGAUUUGCGGUGAGCCAUUUGGUUUGAUCAUAAGAGAAAAGUCUCCAAUCCCAGGGUCAUCAGCUGAUCUCCAUGAUGUUAGAAACCGAUGAAUUCCUAAUUUUCGAUCGAGCCCCAAUUUCAUCCCAGGUAGGUGGGUGCUUGUAGGAUAAUCGAAGCUUUGCCAUACAAUGUCUCUGCUUCUUUUCCUGACCAAUAUCAAAUUCCCAGAAUCCAAUAGUUGAGCUGCACAUAUAUCAUUUUCUUCCACUGGAACAUUUGUAGACCACACAGGAAGCUUUUGGUCAUCGUUACCACAGAGAACAAGGUUUCCAUAUUGGUUUAUAAACAGAAAUCCAGAGGAACCAAUGAUUGGAUCGUUCCUGUUGGCGACCCACACCACAGUUUGUUCUGGUAUUUUAUGGUACCAAAUUCCAAGAUAUCACAGUUUGUUCUUUUCCUGACCAAUAUCAAAUUCCCAGAAUCCAAGAGUUGAGCUGCACAGAUAUCAUUUUCUUCCACUGGAACAUUUUUAGACCACACAGGAAGCUUUUGGUCAUCGUUACCAUAGAGAACGAGGUUUCCAUAUUGGUUUGUAAAGAGAAAUCCAGAGGAACCAAUGAUUGGAUCGUUCCUGUUGGCGACCCACACCACAGUUUGUUCUGGUAUUUUAUGGUACCAAAUUCCAAGAUAUCUGUUGCUAGAACUACCUGGACAGAAAAAUCCUAGUGCAAAAUUAUUUCCUUUGGAGAUAAGAAGGUCACCUUCUUUAACGGUGUGGUUCGUCUUUAAGGAGUCUUGGGAUGUACAAGAUGAUAAUUGGAGUAUUAUAAGAGAAAAAAGCAGGAACAGUUUUUCAGCUUCCAUGAUGGAGUAAACUGGAUCUUGGCUUCUGGAAAAGUUUUAAAUUUUGCUUUGUGGAGAAUGGAUAUGGCCUUCAGACAAGUCUCCAGAGAAGUUGCGUGACGGAAUUAGGCAUCUCUUUAAUGAGUUACUCUUUUCAACCUUCAAAGUCUAGACAAUGACUUGUUUUUGUUAAAGUAUCAAUCCAGGAUUUUUGGAAACGACACCGUCCUCUAGUUUUAGAAAUAUGUAGGUGAUUGCAGACGCAUACAAAAACAACAUAAAAAAGACAAUAAACACAAAGAAAGAUGGAAUUGCGUCGAAAAAGACAAAAUCAUUCAAACUUUUAUACUCAAAAAUUUUCUAAUUAAAUUUAAAUAUUAAAGCUCUUCUAAAUUAUUAUAUACUAGGAAAAACACCCUGAACAAAGCUUAAAAAUUAAUAAAAUAUUUCUAAAGUAAAUAAAAAAAUAAUCUAAAUUAACUUGAAAAAUAUGAUAUUUUCAAAAUAGUAAUUUCUAGUACUGGUUUGGAGGCCUUAACUUCAUAAAUAAGACCUUUAGGAAUAUUGCCUCUAGAAUCAAAAUUUAUGUCCAUUAUGAUAAGGUCAUGUGUUGGAUGAAAAUCUCCUACAUCAGUCUCUCUAUGUUGAAAAUAACUUGUUUUCAAGUUCAAAUUAUUCUUGUUUUGAUAUCGUGAAUGCUUAAUCAAAGCUCUCAACCUCUUUUCCUUUCUUUUCUUAAGGUAUAUAACAAUACUAGAUAUUGGUUUUAGUUCUUUAUCAACAUAUGUUGUAUCUAUAUAAUCCUUGAACAAUUCUAUCUUUGUAAUAAUAGUAAACUUGUAAUCAAAAGGAUCAACAUAAUCUAAAUCAAUAAUUUAAUUUUAUUGGUCAUCUUCGAUAUUCUAUUUACACUUAAUUUCUACCUUAUCAAUAUGAACACCAUUGAUGACAUUAUUGCUCCUUCGCUAUCAUUGUUUAUGUUAUUAUUAUUAUCAUAAGUGUGGCUAGGUGAUCACACACAUAUAUAAAAUUUUAGUUUUCUUUGUUAUUUUUUUCACUUGGAUCGUUUUUGUUUUUGAGUUUUUUAGAUCUUGAUUAUGGUUCUUGAGAAAUAAUUAGAGUUGUCAGUGUUACGCAAAAAAAUAUGGAAGGAUUUGAUCUUCCAUGUGUUUGGUCUGAUAAAUCCAAGCUAUGUGGUUUUUACUUUGUUGAUUCAACUUUCUAACUUCUUCUUCUUCUUUUUUAUGUUUCAUGUGUUAUGUUGUUGAUUCCUCUUUUUGCUGGAUGAUCUUAUAAGGUUUUUGAAUACCGUAAGGAUCUCUUGCUUUCUCAAUUUACUGUAUUUUGCUGCACUCUACAUCUAUAUUGAGUUUGAGCAUAGCCAGUGUUGUUAUCUAUUUUGGAACCUCACAUAAACAUAAAAAAAUAAAAAAAAUAAAAAAAUAUACAUCAGUAGGAAGAACAUGAAGAAUGUCCAGAAAAUUGUCAACUAGUUGGGAAGAAUCAAAAUAUCCAAAGUUGAAAAAUUGAUAGUUCAAUUUUGACUCGUGAAGGCCCUAUUAAUAAGAAAAAUUCAAUUUGGAAAGAAAAAUUCAAAAUUAGAUGUUUAAUAACUCAAUUGAAAUUUUUCAAGGUUUAAUUGUAUUUAUUGAGGGAUUGAUUGCAAGGAAAAUUGGUUUUUAAGUUCAAUUUGAACUUUAAUGGGAAGAAAUUGAAAUCUGGGGGUUGAAUUGUAAUUUUAAAAGGCUAAUUUAGUUAGCUAAAAACAUGGCAUUGUAUUAUUAAUAUGAUGCGGUGGAUGGAGUGAUGGUGCACCUUUCCGAUGGUGAAGCCUGAAAACAUUUUAAUAUGAUGCAUCCUUAGUUUUUAAUGGAAUCAAGGAACAUGCAUCUUGGGUUAUGUACAGACAGAUUCAAUCCAUUUGGAUCAUUUGUUGCUCUUUAUUCUUGUUGGCUAAUAAUACUCACAGUUUACAAAUUGUCAUUGGGCAUGUGUAUGAGGUCGGAGUUCAUGUUUUUAUCAACGGUCAUACCAAGUCAUAAUAGUCUGAGUUAGAAUAUAGAUGUUUGUCUUUGGUGGUGAUUCAGAAGGAUUUCAGGCCAACGUACAUCUCAGAGGCCAUGUGGGCGGAAUAUAUUUAGCAUGUGAUGUCUGAUCGUGACGUGCGACAAUCAUACUCCGGUGCAGAGAACCAGAACUAGCAAGUUCAUGGUUUUGUUAUCACGCACACUAGCAGCUCCAUUCGAUUCGUUUCACAUGCAAAACGAAUGGUUAGAUUAGUCUCUCUAACACUACAACCCAGUUCUUGCGAAUAGCCCGUAAUUUUUCAAACCAUUAGAUAUUGUAAUCAGUUUCAAGCACUCAUACUCUAGAGUUCGAGAUGAUUUUAGACCAGCGAAUUAAAGAUUAGACGACCCAUCUUGUUGCUAAUUAUGAAUGACUACUUAGUGUUGAGAUGACCGAACUUCACCAAUUCGUAUUGGAGAUGAGAUCACAUAUGAGUGGUACUUGUGCUCCCUCUUAUUCGCCCCACAGUUUAGGCAAAGACCUGCCUUCUCCUCCUCCUCCAGCACUUCUAUUCUAGAUGAAUUGUAUUUGAACUUAUAAAUAUUUAAAUUUGUAAUAAAUAUUUGAUUUUAUAUUAGUUUAAUUUUUUAAAUACCUUUUGUUUCUGCUUAAUAGAUUUUUUUUAAAUAUAUUUUUGAAUUAUUAAUGACAGGGUUACAAACGAACAUAGUUUGUCGGUAUAUUCCAAAAAGUUGAAAAAUAAUUACUGCAAAUAUCACUGUCAUUGUUUACUAACCGACAAAAUAACAUACAAUAUGUUUGACAAUUACAAGUUAAAUUUACCGAUGGACAUACUGACAGUUGAAAAAAAUCAUCAAUGCAAUGACAUGUGGUUUUUCUGUUAGUGAUAUGUUAUAUUCAAUGUUGGAAAUACUGAUGAAAUGAAGCAGGUAAAGUUUUUUUUUUGCAUGCUUUGUACAUUAUUAAAUGUAUCUGUAAAAUUAUUACCGAUAGAUCACAAAUCAUUAACGAGAGUUUUUUCGAUGGAAGAUUUUUGUCUGUGAUCAUGUCGUUAAGGACAUGAAGCAAAGAGUGAACUUCUUCCUAAUAAACAUGUGACUUGGGACGACAUAACAAAUAGAGAUUAAAGAGUCUUGUCGUACCUUGUUUUGCCCUCUUCUUGAGCCACAAAUAAGCAGUUAACAUUUGAUGCAAUUGAUGGUACUAAAAUGGCCAGCAUCGUUUUUUCAAGAGAAACAUUUGACUUCCUUGUAUUAUUAGCUGCAUGAGAGUGAAAAGAAUAAAGAUUCAACUCCGGAGGAAAAACAACAAUACAGAUCUUAUUAACAUUUGACUUUCUCCAAUGGAAACAUGACAAUACAAUUGCAAAGGCUGGCCCCUUCGACACCUAACAAGUAUCAAUAUCAAUGGUUUCUUUCAUGAAGUACAGAGCUUAUUAACUACAUCCUAGAGCAGUGGCAAACAUUGAAAAGCUUUUAUAAAUCAAUAUUUGAAAUGAAAAUUCUAAGAAAUUGUUACUGAGCAGAAAAAAGGCACCUAAUUCAUAUGCAUCAACACGAACAUAUAGAUCAUAAAUUUCACUCCUUUCAUAUUUGAUGUCUACUAAUUCCUUGUACCAUGUCAAACUGUUGAUAAUAGGUAUAUAAAGAACUGAAUGUUGAUGAUAACCAGAAAAACAAAGAACAAAGAACUUGCAAUAAAUUAAGAAUAAAGAGCAUAAUGUUUUUCAUAUUGGUUACUGCCAUCCCUUAGCUUUUAUUUAUAGAUGAAAUCAAUCACAACACAAUUAAGAAACAUAAUUAACAUAAACUUCUUCAUUUAUGGAGCUAUGUAACUUAUCCUAAAUAAGUUUCAUAUCUAAAGGUAAAAACUCACUAAACAACAUUAAGAUAAUGAUGUUACUAAUAGAUAAACAUUAAUGAAAGAUAAUAUAUGGCUGAGACAUUAAUUUCAGCUUUGGUGCCAUAACUUCAACACUCCUCCUUGGUUCCAAAGCUGCACAUUCCUAUCAUCUCCCUUAGAUCUUCAAAUCUAUCUUUAGCUAAAGGCUUGGUGAACAGGUCUGCUAAUUGCUCUUUUGAAGUGCAGUAUAUCAUCUCUAGUUCCCCUUCUUGCUGGAAUUGCCUGAUAGCAUGGAACUUGAUCUUCAUAUGCUUGGUCCUGUCAUGAAAAACAGAAUUCUUUGAAAUAGCUAUUGCUGAUGUAUUGUCACAAAACAAUUCUGUGGGACUUCGUUGAUCAAAGUCUAGAUCAUUCAGCAUUUUCCUUAGCCAUAUCAAUUGCUUUGCUGCCACAUAUGCUGCUUUGUAUUCUGCCUCUACAGUAGAAUGUGCAACCACUGAUUGCUUCUUUGAGUUCCAACAGAAAAUGCUUCCUCCAAUAGCAAAGCAAUAACCUGAGGUGCUCAUCAUUUCUUCAUCACUUCCAGCCCAAUCACUAUCAGAAAAACCAACAAGUUUAACAGAACUUGAUUUCACAAAAUGCAUGCCAAACUCUAAGGUCCCUUUCAGAUAUUUCAGAACUCUCUUGGCUGCAACAAAAUGGAUUUGACUUGGACUUUGCAUGAACCUAGAGAGGUAAUUGAUAGCAAAAACAAUGUCUGGACGUGUAGCAGUUAAAUACAACAAGCUGCCAACUAAACUUCUGUAGGCUUUUCCAUCAGUUUUGGGAGCUCCAUCCUCCUUCAUUAGCUUUUGUCCCAAUACCAUAGGUGUAUUGACUGGUUUGCAAUUUUCCAUUGCAAAUUUUUUUAGUAGCUUCGUUGCAAACCUCUUUUGACAUAGGAAAUAACCUUGCUCCGACUGACUUACUUCCAUGCCUAAGAAGUAUGACAACAAACCAAGUUCAUUCAUCUCAAACUUAUCCUUCAUGUUGGUUUUAAACUCCUCUACCAGCUGCUCCUUGUCUCCUGCAAUCAAUAAAUCAUCUACAUACACUGAUACGAUCAGAGUAUGUUUGUCAACAUUUUUCACAUACAAAGUUACUUCAUUCAUGCUUCUUUCAAAGCCUAAACUCAAAAGAUACCCAUCCAAUCUACUGUACCAAGCUCUAGGAGCCUGUUUAAGUCCAUACAAAGCCUUCUUUAGCAAAUAUACUUUGUUUGAUGUGAUCUCCUUUUCAAAGCCAUCAGUUUGUUCAACAUAUAUUUCUUCAUUUAGAACACCAUUCAGAAAUGCAGACUUAACAUCAAACUGAAAAAUAUGCCCACCAUUUUGUGCUGCUAGAGCAAGCAAGAGUUUUAUUGUAUCAAGCCUAAAUACUGGAGCAAAUGUCUCAGUGAAGUCAAUACCUGGCUCUUGUGAAUAACCCUUCACUACAAGUCUUGCUUUGUGCUUGUUGAUACUCCCAUCUGCAUUCAGUUUGGUUUUGAAAAUCCAUUUCACACUAAUUACCUUCUUGUGAACGGGUCUGUCAACCAACAUCCAUGUUUCAUUCUUUUCUAUCAUCAUGAGCUCCUCCUUCAUUGUAGCUAUCCAUACUUGUGAGUUGAUAGCUUCUUCAAAAUCUAUUGGUUCUACUUCAGCAACAUUGCACCUGCUGUAAAUGUCAGCUAAGGACCUUGUCUCCCUUACUGGUUUGUCAUUGACAAUAUCAUCAUCCUCUGUAGCAUCCAGUUUAAUUUGAUACUCUUGUUUUGUCUCUUCAAUUGAUGCAGCUUCCCAGUUCCAUGUACCAUUCUCUGCAACUUUUACAUCUCUUGCAAUCACAACUUUAUUAGAUUUCAUAUCAUAGAUUUUAUAAGCCUUAGAUUUUGUGUUAUAGCCUAUAAGAAUUCCCAUAUCAGCCUUUUGAUCAAUUUUUCUUCUCUUUACUUCAGGUUGCAAGACAUAGCAAGGGCUGCCAAAAACUUUUAAAUGAUCAACAUUGGGUUUAAAGCCAUACCAGAUUUCAUAAGGAGUUUCAUCUCCUAACACUCUUGUGGUCAUAUGAUUUAGAAGGUAAGAUGCUGUGUUUACUGCUUCUGCCCAGAAUUUUAAUGGCAUUUUCUUCUCAUAUAGCAAACAUCUUGCCAUUUCCAUCAAUGUUCGGUUUCUCCUCUCACUGACUCCAUUCUGUUGUGGAGUGUAGGGAACUGUCAGUUGGUGUUUGAUCCCUUCUUUUGCCAAGUAUGCCUCAAAUUAUGGAGAGGUAUACUCUCCUCCAUUGUCAGGUCUCAAUAUCUUCAAUCUGUUUCCUAUUUCUACUUCAACUGCUGCUUUGAACUUAACAAACUCAGUAAACACAUCAGAUUUUGAUUUCAGAAAGUAAACCCGGCAGUACCUACUAUAAUCAUCAACAAAUAGAAGAAAAUACUUUGAACCAUUCAAUGAUUCAUUAUGCAUCGGCCCACACACAUCUGUGUGUACAAGCUGGAGUUUUGACAGUGCUCUAUAUGCAAUGUCAGGAAAAACAACUCUAGUUUGUUUUCCUAACUGACAGGCUUCACAAAUACUCUUUUGUUCCUGUAUAUCUGGUAAACUGUGAGUCAUCUGCAGGUCAGCCAUUCUCUUUAAAGUUGCAUAAUUGAAGUGCCCCAACCGUUUGUGCCAAAGAACAGAUUCAUUGUUCUCAUAAGUGUUAGCACUUAAACAUACUUCUCUCCAAUCAACAUUAAAACUUCUGUUCAUCAUUUUUGCAGAAAGCAGUAGCACUCCAUUUUUAUUGUUAAUAUCACAUACUCCAUCAUUAAAGAUUAUUGAGUAACCAGAUUCAAUUAAUUGUCCCACACUAACUAGAUUCUGAUUGAUCUUAGGUACAUAAAGAACAUUUUUAAGAGUUUUUGUACCUGACAAUGUUUCUACUUAAAUUGCUCCUUUUCCUUCAACCUUCACAUAGUCUCCAUUGCCAAUUCUAACUCUAGAUAGAUAGCUUUUAUCCAAGUCUCUGAAUAAGCUCAAAUCUGCUGUCAUAUGGUUAGUGCACCCACUAUCAUUGAGCCAUGAUGAGUCGUUUGCCUUUGCUGUGUUACACAUCUCCUGUAUUGUAGCUAUGAAUAAAAGAUCUUCCUUAACUUUUGAACAAUCGGCUACUUGAGCUUGUUUUACUGUUCCUGUUUUAUUUUUGUAGAAUCUUUGAAUGUGACCAAAUUGCUUGCAGUUUCGGCAUUGUGCAUUCUUGAGCCAACACCAGGCUUCAAGAUGAUUUGUUUUCUGACAGAAUUUGCAAGCAGGAAAAUGUUCUUUCUUCUCUUUCCUUCUAGUGAAGUUGUUGUUGUUGUUGUUCUGUUGCCAGUUAUUGGAUUGCCAGCCUUUCCCUUUUUUCUCUUUUUCCUUCUUGAUUGUUUUUGUAAAAAUUCUUAGCCCGACUCUUCUCCUUGUAAACUGCAACAAGAGCUCCUUCACUUGAUCCUUCUUGUCUAUAAGCUUGCCUUUGCUCCACAGCUUGCAAUGCAUUUACAAGUUCUUGCAGGCUCAUUUAAGAGAAAUCUUUAGAAUCUUCUAAAGAGCAAAUUUUAUGUUUAAAUUUUUCUGGUAGACUUACCAUAACUUUCUAUACUAUUCUUGAAUAUGGAAAAUCUUCUCCCAAAAGUCUCACUUGAUUCACAAGUUUUGAAAUUUGAGAAGAGAAGUCUUUGAUGGUUUCAUUUUCUUUCAUCUUUAAACCUUCAACCUUUCUUCUAAGAUUUAAAAUCUGCAUCUUCCUUGACUUCUCAUCACCAUGAAAUUCUGCUUUUAAUUUAUCCCAUGUUUCUUUGGCAGAUUUACACGCCAUGAUCCUUGUGAAAAUGUCUUCACUAACAGCAUUAUGAAGACAGGUAAGAGCUUUGAAUCGCUUUGCCUUUUCUUCAGUAAAAAAUUUCAUCUGUGCAAUCGUAGGAUUGUUUCCUAGUGGAAUUGGUUGCUUAUCGCUCUCCGAUAUCUCCCACAAGUCAAAAGCUUUGAGAUAAGUUUCCAUUUUCACAGCCCACACACCAAAAUUCUGCCCUGUGAACACUGGUGUUUUUGCUGGAAAAUUUAUAGAAUCCAUUUCUUAAAAAAAAAUCACUUAAUCUCCCGUGUUUUACUCACUAUCCCUUCAAAGAAAAAUGCUUUGAUUUAACCUCACUAAUCUCUCGUGUUUCACUCACAAUUCCUUCAAAGAUCAAAGAAUGCUCUGAUACCAAUUGUUGAUAAUAGGUAUAUAAAGAACUGAAUGUUGAUGAUAACCAGAAAAACAAAAAACAAAGAACUUGCAACAAAGAAUAAAGAGCAUAAUGUUUUUCAUAUUGGUUAGUGCCAUCCCUUAGCUUUUAUUUAUAGAUGAAAUCAAUCACAACACAAUUAAGAAACAUAACUAACAUAAACUUCUUCAUUAAUGGAGCUAUGUAACUUAUCCUAAAUAAGUUUAAUAUCUAACGAAGUAAAAACUCACUAAACAACAUUAAAAUAAUGAUGUUACUAAUAGAUAAACAUUAAUAAAAAAUAACAUAUAACUGAGACAUUAAUUUCAGCUUUGGUGCCAUAACUUCAACACAAACAACCAUCCCCUUUUCCAGGAAUUCCAAUGAUUGCGUAUGCAGAGCAUGAACAAUUCCUCUUGCAUUCCAGUUCACAGGCUGCACGACUCUUGCUCUUGUCCAUUCAAGCUGCAGACGAAGUGUCCGGAAGACUGUAAUUCUCUAUCUUCACAAACCCUUCUCCAUGCUGGCACAACAAAGACGUCUGUAGCCGCUUCCUGACACAACCACCAGAUCCAUCUCUCGUAGACCAUUCCUUUGGGUACUUGGGCUCGAACCCAGGUAAACAGGCACAUCCAAAUCUAUUAUGAUUGGUAAGUUCACACGUACUAUCAGCACCACACAGUCCCUAAUAGUCGCACUGAAACAGUGGGGUCUUCCAGUAAUCCUUCCAGUACUGACCAUCACUUUAUCGCCAUGUUAACGCCUUUACAAGUCCUGGAUGAUCCACUAUUAUUCUUAGCAGAUAAGAAUCAUCAGGAACUGUGUAGACAAAGUACUUUUCGUCUGGAUCAUUUACAAAAGUGCUUUUGUAUAAGUCCAUCUGACUUCUCCAUGGCCAAGGGGGAGAUCUACUAAUUGGCUUUUUACCAUUAUAGAAAAAGAAUUGUGGCGAGCCAUUUGGGUUGAUCCUAACUGAAAAGUCCCUGAACCCAGGGUCUUCAGCUGAUCUCCAUGAUGUUAGGAACCGAUCAAUUCCUAAUUUUCGAUCCAGCACCAGUUUCAUUCCAGGAAGCAGGAUGUUCGUAGGAUAAUCGAAGCUUUGCCAUACAGUUUUCCUGCUUCUUUUCCUGACCAAAAUCAAAUUUCCUGAAUCCAAGAGUUGAGCUGCACAAGUAUCAUUUUCUUCCACCGAAACAUUUGUAGACCACACUGGAAGCUUUUGGUCAUCUUUCCCAUGGAGAACGAGGUUUCCAUAUUGGUUUGUAAAGAGAAAUCCAGAGGAACCAAUGAUUGGAUCGUUCGUUUUUGCAACCCACACCACAGUUUGUUCUGGUAUUUUAUGGUACCAAAUUCCAAGAUAUCUAUUGCUAAAACUGCCAGGACUGAAAAAUCCUAGUGCGAAAAUAUUUUUCUUUGGAGAUAAGAAGGUCACCUUCUUUACUGGUUUGGUUCGUCUUUAAGGAGUCUCGGGAUGUAGAAGAUGAGAAAUGGAGCAUUAUAAGAGAAAAAAGCAGGAGCAGUUUUUCAGCUUCCAUGAUGGGGCAAACUGGACCUUGGCUUUUGGACAAGUGAAUUGUUGCUUUGUGGAGAAAGGAGAUGGUCUUCAGACAAGUGUGGGACCAUUAGAGAAGCAGCGUGAAAAAAAUGGUUUUUUUUUUUGUUUAUAGUGGUAAUGAUUUUAAAAAUAAAAAGUUAAAUGUAUUAAAAUAAUUUUUUUAUUUUUUUUUUAAUAUUAACCUAUUAAAGUAAUACAAAAAUAUAAAAAAAUUAAUUUUAAAUUAAUUUUUUUAAUUUUUGCAAAUCUUCAUUUAGACCACACUCCCAUGUCAUCAUAUAAUCGUGUCCUUUGUAUUCUAUAUUCGCUAGAAGGCAACUCAACUUUUUUUUCUUUUUAUGUUUGAUUUUAAUUUAUAAUAAACUAAUUUGAUAUAAUAUAUAUUAUGGUGAUAUCUAAGAUUUCGGAUGAUUAUUUAAGACAUGUGUUCUCUAAAUACCUCAAAUUUGUGAAGCCAGCCACCUAAGUCCAGCCACCUAAGUCAACAAAGGUGGGAGUCAACAAUGGUGGUGAAGCCAUCCUUCCUUAGUCACAAAUUGUAGGCACCAAACUUGUGCCACUUGCCUUGCCCCUUGUAUUUACAUGGAUGCUUGCCUAUAAAUAGGCAAUGCAUCCAAGCAUUGUAAACACACCACAAGAGAGAAAAUUGAGAGCAAGUAGAGUGAGUGAAGAGAGAGUAAUCCCACAAAAGUUGUGAGGUAUUUGUGAGAAAGUAAGUGAGGUGUUUUCUCCUAGUAAUAGAGAGAUUUCAGUUGUUCUCCUAUUGAUAGAGAGAGGUUGUAAUUCCCACAUUACUUAGUAAAAUUCUUCUAUACUUGUCCGUGGACGUAGCCAAAUUGGGUGAACCACGUAAAUUCUUGUGUGUCUAAUUUCUCAUUUUAUCCUAUCCUUUGCCUUUUAUCUUGUCGGGUUUGCAUGCCAGUAUCCUAACAGUGGUAUCAGAGCCUUCUGGUUGGUGUUGUUAAUACACAAAAGUUAUUCGUGUAUAUGGUUACUAUUCACGUCUACGGCACUAUUCACCUAUACGACACUAUUCAUCCAUACGGUACUGUUCACAUACGUUAUUGUUGGCGUAUAUAGAAAGUCAGUGCGGUGAUUAAAUACAGUCUAGGAAGUUCUGUCUAAGGAGAUUGGGUUUUAAGCGGGACCGUUUGUGACCCCUCCAAUCUUUCCUGGGAACUUACUUAGUGAAGUAUUAUUCACACGAUACUAUUUCUACAUACGUUACAGAUCUGUGAAACGGUGAUAGCUGAAUAGAUCUCGGUGAAUACAAUGGCAGCAAAGUACGAGAUAGAGAGGUUCAAAGGGAGCAAUUUCUCACUGUGGAAAAUGAGAAUCAAGGCAAUCUUAAGGAAAGACAAUUGCUUGGCAGCAAUUGGGGAUCGGCCCGCGGAGAUCACUGAUAAUGCAAAAUGGAAUGAAAUGGAUGGCAAUGCUAUUGCUAACAUACAUUUAGCAUUAGCCGAUGAAGUAUUAUCAAGUGUGGCGGAGAAGAAAACAGCUAAGGAGAUAUGGGAGACUCUAACAAAGCUAUAUGAGUCCAAGUCUUUGCACAAUAAGAUUUUCUUAAAGCGGAGACUUUAUACCCUUCGAAUGGCAGAAACCACGGCGGUAACUGACCACAUCAACACAAUAAGAACUCUAUUUUCACAACUCACUACGUUGGGUCAACAAAUAGAGGAAAGUGAACGUGCAGAGCUUCUACUUCAAAGUCUUCCAGAUUCGUAUGAUCAGCUCAUUAUCAACUUGACCAAUAAUAUCCUCACAGACUAUUUAGUCUUUGAUGAUGUUGCAGCCGCCAUCUUGGAAGAAGAAAAUAGGCGCAAAAAUAAAGGAGACAGAAAUAGUUCAAACCAAGCAGAGGCAUUAUUGGUGUCAAGAGGGAGAUCAACGGAGCGUGGCUCCAGUGGGAGUCAAAGGCAAGGGAGGUCCAAAUCAAGAAGCAAGAAGACUGUGAAAUGCUACAACUGUGGCAGAAAAGGGCACUUCAAAAGGGAUUGUUGGUUUAAAAAGGGUAUAGAGAACACUGCAGAGUCAUCAAAACCUCAAGGAUGUGUUGCAAGCACCUCAGAAGAUGGAGAGGUUUUAUAUAGUGAAGCAGCAACAGUCUCUACAGAUAGAAAAGAGCUCACAGAGGUUUGGGUAAUGGAUUCAGGAGCAACAUGGCAUAUGACUCCUAAUCGAGAUUGGUUUCAUACAUACGAACCCACCUCUGGAGGCUCAGUGUUCAUGGGUGAUAAUCAUGCUUUAGAGAUUGCUGGCAUUGGCACCAUCAAAUUGAAGAUGUAUGAUGGCUUAAUUCGUACUAUUACAGGAGUGCGUCAUGUGAAAGACUUAAAGAAAAAUCUUUUGUCCGUGGGACAAUUUGAUAGUCUUGGCUGUAAGAUCCGAACAGACAAUGGAAUAAUGAAAAUUGUCAAAGGAGCGCUGGUGGUUUUAAAGGCGAGAAAGACAGUUGCAAACAUGUUUGUAUUAAUGGGAGAAACACAUCAUGGGGCAGAAGCGUCAAUCGCAUCAGCCAGUCCUGCAGAAGAGAAGACGAUGAUGUGGCAUCAAAAACUAGGCCACAUGUCAGAGAAAGGUUUGAAAGUUCUCUCUGAUCAGAAGUUACUCCCUGGGCUUACAAAGGUUACUUUACCCUUUUGUGAGCAUUGUGUUACAAGCAAACAGCACAGGUUGAAGUUUGGCACAUCAACAACUAAGAGCAAAUGCAUCUUAGACCUGAUUCACUCUGAUGUUUGGCAAGCACCGGUUGUAUCCUUGGGAGGAGCAAGAUACUUUGUAUCAUUCAUAGAUGACUUCUCCAGGAGAUGUUGGGUGUAUCCAAUUAGAAGGAAGGCAGAUGUGUUCGCAGUCUUUAAAACUUUCAAAGCGCGGGUGGAACUUGAAUCUGAAAAGAAGAUCAAGUGUUUGAGGACUGACAAUGGAGGAGAAUAUACCAGUGAUGAAUUUGAUAACUUCUGUCAACAUGAAGGUAUCAAAAGGCAGUUCACAACGGCAUACACUCCACAGCAAAAUGGAGUGGCAGAGCGGAUGAACAGAACUCUAUUAGAAAGAACAAGAGCAAUGUUGAAGACUGCAGGUCUAGGAAAGUCAUUCUGGGCAGAAGCAGUCAAUACCGCCUGUUAUGUGAUAAAUCGAUCUCCGUCAACUGCAAUUGAGCUGAAGACACCGAUGGAGAUGUGGACUGGAAAACCAGCUGAUUAUUCUCGAUUGCAUGUAUUUGGAAGUCCUGUGUACGUGAUGUACAAUACACAAGAAGUUAGCAAGCUGGAUUCAAAAUCCAGAAAAUGUGUAUUCUUGGGAUAUGCUGAUGGAGUGAAGGGGUAUCGCUUGUGGGAUCCCACUGCCCACAAGGUAGUCAUCAGCAGAGAUGUUAUAUUUGCAGAAGGUAAAAUGCAAAUGGAAGAACAUAAUAGCAUUCCAAAGGAGACUACAGCAGUCCAGAUGGAAAAUACUCAAAAUCAUACUUCUUCUGAAGCUGCACCAGAGCAUGAAGAACAAGAACAAAUAGAGUCUGAAACUCCUGAAGUUCGACGGUCAACUCGUGAAAGAAGACCACCGGCUUGGCACUCAGAAUAUGUUACUGAGAGCAACAUUGCAUACUGUCUUCUAACAGAGGAUGGAGAGCCAUCAACUUUCCAUAAGGCUAUCAAAAGCACAAAUGUAUCUACGUGGAUGACAGCAAUGCAAAAGGAGAUUGAAGCUCUACACAAGAACAACACUUGGGAUCUUGUUCCGCUACCACAAGGAAGGAAGGCCAUUGGCAACAAAUGGAUUUACAAGAUAAAGCGUGAUGGCAAUGAUCAAGUGGAGCGGUACCGUGCAAGAUUGGUGGUGAAAGGAUAUGCUCAGAAAGAAGGAAUAGACUUUAAUGAGAUAUUUUCUCCAGUGGUACGACUUACUACAAUCAGAGUAGUCUUGGCAAUGUGUGCUAUAUUUGAUCUUCACUUAGAGCAGUUAGAUGUGAAAACUGCAUUUCUUCAUGGAGAACUUGAAGAAGAAAUUUAUAUGCUCCAACCAGAGGGUUUUGCUGAAACAGGCAAGGAGAACUUGGUUUGCAGGUUGAACAAAUCUCUAUACGGUCUCAAACAGGCGCCGAGGUGUUGGUACAAGAGAUUUGAUUCCUUCAUAAUUAGCCUUGGGUACAACAGACUUAGUUCAGACCAUUGUACGUAUUACAAGAGGUUUGAAGAAGAUGAUGUUUUCAUCAUUUUGUUGUUGUACGUGGAUGACAUGUUGGUAAUAGGCCCCAACAAAGAUCGAGUCCAAGAAUUGAAGGCACAAUUGGGUAGGGAGUUCGAUAUGAAGGACUUGGGACCAGCAAACAAGAUUCUAGGGAUGCAAAUUCACCGAGACAGAAGUAAGAGGAAGAUUUGGCUUUCUCAGAAGAAUUAUCUGAAGAAGAUCUUGCGUCGCUUCAACAUGCAAGAUUGUAAGCCAAUUUCCACCCCACUUCCUGUUAACUUCAAAUUAUCCUCAAGUAUGUCUCCUAGCAAUGAAGCAGAGAGGAUGGAGAUGUCUCGAGUACCGUAUGCAUCAGCAGUGGGAAGUUUAAUGUUUUCCAUGAUAUGUACAAGACCAGACAUUGCACAAGCAGUGGGAGCAGCUAGUCGAUACAUGGCAAAUCCUGGUAGAGAGCAUUGGAAUACUAUUAAGAGGAUCUUGAGAUACAUCAAGGGUACCUCAGAUGCCGCAUUAUGUUAUGGAGGAUCAGAAUUUACUGUCAGAGGUUAUGUUGAUUCAGAUUUUGCUGGCGACCUUGAGAAAAGAAAAUCCACUACAGGCUAUGUGUUCAUAAUUGCAGGAGGAGCUGUGAGCUGGGUCUCUAAACUUCAGACUGUUGUAGCUUUAUCCACAAUAGAAGCUGAGUACAUGGCAGCUACACAAGCUUGUAAAGAAGCAAUAUGGAUGAAGAAACUUAUGGAGGAGCUCGGGCACAAACAAGAGAAGAUUCUUUUGUAUUGUGAUAGUCAGAGUGCCUUGCAUAUUGCAAGGAAUCCAGCGUUUCAUUCAAGAACAAAACAUAUAGAUGUUCAGUAUCACUUUGUUCGCGAAGUGGUGGAAGAUGGAAGUGUGGAUUUUCAGAAGGUUCACACAAAGGAAAACCCAGCAGAUGCUUUGACUAAACCAGUCAGCACUGAUAAGUAUAUAUGGUGCAGAUCCUCUUAUGGCCUAGUAGAAACGUAAGCAGCAUGAAGAUAGCAAGUAUAGAAAGAAUAGAAGAAUCACAGAUGAUCAUGUGUGAAGACUUGAUUAAAUCAUCAAAGUCUUCAAGUGGGAGAAUGUGAAGCCAGCCACCUAAGUCCAGCCACCUAAGUCAACAAAGGUGGGAGUCAACAAUGGUGGUGAAGCCAUCCUUCCUUAGUCACAAAUUGUAGGCACCAAACUUGUGCCACUUGCCUUGCCCCUUGUAUUUACAUGGAUGCUUGCCUAUAAAUAGGCAAUGCAUCCAAGCAUUGUAAACACACCACAAGAGAGAAAAUUGAGAGCAAGUAGAGUGAGUGAAGAGAGAGUAAUCCCACAAAAGUUGUGAGGUAUUUGUGAGAAAGUAAGUGAGGUGUUUUCUCCUAGUAAUAGAGAGAUUUCAGUUGUUCUCCUAUUGAUAGAGAGAGGUUGUAAUUCCCACAUUACUUAGUAAAAUUCUUCUAUACUUGUCCGUGGACGUAGCCAAAUUGGGUGAACCACGUAAAUUCUUGUGUGUCUAAUUUCUCAUUUUAUCCUAUCCUUUGCCUUUUAUCUUGUCGGGUUUGCAUGCCAGUAUCCUAACAAAAUUUACUAGAUUAAUGAUAUUAUUGAAGAUGAUGGUUUUUCAAUUAAGAAAGAAUAUUAAUUUGGUGAAAUUGGCCAUAUUGUGAUGCAAAGAUAUUGUGAAUAUCACAAUACAUGACUUUAUUCUUAGUUUAUUGUGCAUGUUAUGAGAUAAAUUGAAAUUGAUUUGUCCUCCAAAAUCAUAAAUCAUAUAAUUGAGAUAGUAAAAUUCAAAAAAAAAAAUACUUUGUUGUUACUAAUCUUAAAAGGGAAAGAAUUGAUACAAUGGCGGACAUCAUAAGUUUUAAAUCCAUAAAACAACUAUUUAUUUUUUGUAUUUAAUUUUUUCAAUUUUUGUAUUAAUUUUUUCAAUUUUAUUCAUCUAGUCGAAUUGAUAGUAAUUUUCAAUUUUUUUAUUUAAUUUUUUCAAUCAUUGUUCAUCUAGUUGAAUUGAUUUUUUUUAAUUAAGGAUUUUUACAAGGACUAAAUUACAUAAAUGUUAAGGGUGUAAUUUCAUAUUUUAGAUUAGGACACAACUGUUUUUUAACUAACAAAUAUUUAUCGGACAAAACUGUUUUUUAACCUGUUAUACCCGCAAUCUAGUCAUUCAUCCCAUUGAAUUUAAUAACAUAUUUUUCAUUUUGUUACACAACAAUGCUUUUCUAUAUUAAAUUAAAAAAAUAAAAAGAGAAUGUAUGCAUUGCCUGAGCAAUGAACUCAAAAGCAUACCAAAUAAAAUAUCAUGAAGUUAAUAUAUUAUAUUUAUAUUUAAGCAAUUCAUUUAAUCUAACUAAAAAAACUGAACUUUUUGUUUUUAAAAAAACUAAAUUUAACAAAGAAAAAUAAAAAAAAAACCUAAGAGCUUCAACAAAUAAAAAACAAAAUGAACUGAAGCAAAUCUUCUAAAUUUAAAUUAAUUUCUCAAACUUAUAACUUAUUAAAUCCUAGAUUUAGAUUUAAUAAAGAAAUUUAAUUCAAUGAUAAAAAAUAAAAUAAAAAAAAAUCUAAAAAAAAAUUGUCAAAGCAAUAAAAGUAGCAAUAAAAAAAUAUUGAUCCAACUGAGGGUUCAACAUGGCUGAUCAUUAGCCUAUUUGGUUAUUUGUGGCUCAGGAACAGAGGGAAAAAGGUAAAGACAAAGCAAGCAUCAAAACAGAAGGUAGAUAGAGUAACUGUCCAUAAAAGAAUAGUUGACGAACACCACCCCUAUAGCAUAACAUAUGAUGAUGCUGUUAGGUUUCUUCCUUGACACUACGCAGAAUGGAUCAGUUGUUUAGAAUCAGGUUGGGAGUUUUAGCAGGGGGUACGUCUAGUGCUGAAGAGCUUGAUCUGUUGUGAUGUACAACAUAUUUGUUUUCAUUACAAAUCUAAUGGAACUUCAUAUUAGCAAUUAUU